rnacentral:lncRNA from 1 species
GUCUAUAUAUAUAAAAUUAAAAAAAUGCAUCUCUGAACAGUUCUGAUGUCAACAAAACCAUUACCAAAGGCUCGCUUGAUAUUCUGUGGAGCUUCUGCGGCAGAGUGACCCAGUUUGUAUGCAUACGAGGAAAUCACUCAACAUAGCGUGGUUGUUAUCAUUUUCAUAAGCUUAACACUGCAAACCAACCGGACACUCGUCAAUAAUACAGUUGCUCCACUGAUUACUUCAGAAGCUCGAGCUACAACGUGGUACUGUUUUUCAGCUAUAUCACUUGAGCCAACGAUUGUUAUGCUGUCUUAGCCCGAGACAUUGUUUCAGUAUUGCUGAUGAGUAACAAACUAUAACAGACUUUGUGAUUGUAAACUGAAACCCUUUCGUCUUGGCUGAAAAUUUGAUUUCAAAUUAAAGAGAGAUAAUGUACAAGGUCUAAAAUAAGAAUUAAUUAAAAAAACACGUUUCUAUUUCCUA